UACGUAGGGUGCGAGCGUUGUCCGGAAUUAUUGGGCGUAAAGGGCUCGUAGGCGGUUUGUCGCGUCGGGAGUGAAAACACGGGGCUUAACCCCGUGCCUGCUUCCGAUACGGGCAGACUAGAGGUAUGCAGGGGAGAACGGAAUUCCUGGUGUAGCGGUGAAAUGCGCAGAUAUCAGGAGGAACACCGAUGGCGAAGGCAGGUCUCUGGGCAAUAACUGACGCUGAGGAGCGAAAGCGUGGGGAGCGAACAGG
rnacentral:rRNA from 1 species